rnacentral:rRNA from 1 species
UUUGUGCAUGGCCGUUCUUAGUUCGUGGAGUGAUCUGUCUGCCCAAUCGCGUUUCAAAUUUACGAGUCGAGUUGUUGUGAGUUCUCGCGUUGGCUUUGUAGGUGUACCGCACAUGCAAUUGCCACGCGCGUCUCACUUACAGACUCUCUUGAACGCAACGGACGGGACCGUACCCUCUUGUUGUGUAGAGCAAGUCAAAGCUGCGUUGUACUUUGUAUCUCUUAACGGAAUGCAAGUUCAAUUGCAUUAGCUAGCGACUCCACUACACAUGUUCACGUCGUCUCAUCUUCAAUUCACUUGAGUCGACUGGACAAACUGAGG